UGUCGACGGCCGGUCGGUGAACACCUGCCGACGCUGCCAAAUAAAGUAUACAUACGGCGUCUUAGCGACCACGUCGAGAUACG
rnacentral:miRNA from 1 species